GAUGAACGCUGGCGGCGUGCCUAAUACAUGCAAGUCGAGCGAACGGACGAGAAGCUUGCUUCUCUGAUGUUAGCGGCGGACGGGUGAGUAACACGUGGAUAACCUACCUAUAAGACUGGGAUAACUUCGGGAAACCGGAGCUAAUACCGGAUAAUAUUUUGAACCGCAUGGUUCAAAAGUGAAAGACGGUCUUGCUGUCACUUAUAGAUGGAUCCGCGCUGCAUUAGCUAGUUGGUAAGGUAACGGCUUACCAAGGCAACGAUGCAUAGCCGACCUGAGAGGGUGAUCGGCCAUACUGGAACUGAGACACGGUCCAGACUCCUACGGGAGGCAGCAGUAGGGAAUCUUCCGCAAUGGGCGAAAGCCUGACGGAGCAACGCCGCGUGAGUGAUGAAGGUCUUCGGAUCGUAAAACUCUGUUAUUAGGGAAGAACAUAUGUGUAAGUAACUGUGCACAUCUUGACGGUUCCUAAUCAGAAAGCCACGGCUAACUACGUG
rnacentral:rRNA from 1 species